AUGGCUACUUCCGCCACCACCCCACUGCACCCCAAAACUCUGCGCCGUCUACAACUACUUCAGGUAGGCAGUGCAGUGACCCGCCCCUCUUCUGCUACUCCGCCUCCAAUGUUGCUCUCUCCGAUAACCUCGCAUCCCUCUCGCCGUCUUGCUUCACCAUUAGGACUAUGCCCUGCUACCCUCCUCCCCAUCACGCUGGUAAAUCAGUUCAGUUUCACAAAGAAGCCUGCCAGCCUGGAACAGCCCGAUGAAUCACCCUGGUGUCAAUAUGCUUUCUCCGUUGUGUACACCAUAUCAUCUGCGAAAAGUAGUUAA
rnacentral:rRNA from 1 species